CCUACUGGAGGCAGCAGUGAGGAAUAUUGGUCAAUGGGCGCGAGCCUGAACCAGCCAAGUAGCGUGAAGGAUGACUGCCCUACGGGUUGUAACCUUCUUUUAUAAAGGAAUAAAGUGAGGCACGUGUGCCUUUUUGUAUGUACUUUAUGAAUAAGGAUCGGCUAACUCCGUGCCAGCAGCCGCGGUAAUCCGGAGGAUCCGAUCGUGAUCCGGAUUUAUUGGGUUUAAAUGGAGCGUAGAUGGGUUGUUAAGUCAGUUGUGAAAGUUUGCGGCUCAACCGUAAAAUUGCAAUUGAUACUGGCAGUCUUGAGUACAGUUGAGGGAGGCGGAAUUCGUGGUGUAGCGGUGAAAUGCUUAGAUAUCACGAAGAACUCCGAUUGCGAAGGCAGCUUACUAAACUGCCACUGACAUUGAUGCUCGAAAGUGUGGGUAUCAAACAGGAUUAGAUACCCGUGUAGUC
rnacentral:rRNA from 1 species